AGGACACUUCUUUUCUUGGGAAAACGUAAGUGGAAGUCGUUACAAUGAUAGCAACAACGGAACGCUCAAGACAGCAGUGGGUACAGGAAGAGGUUUUCCCAGCGAACCCCCAGGAGCCAGGUGAUGCAGGUCCCUGCUUUCUGCUGAAGACCAGGACAUGCAGGAUGGAGGUGAGCUUUGCUUGGCCCAACGUCUUCCUUCCAGGGAUCCACUCUUCCUAUGGUGAUGGCCUUGCUUUCCGGGGGAUACCCUGCUCUCUCUGUAGAUGAGAACACGCUGCCGGGGUCUGUCCUCAUCCACCUGCGUAACGCUGUAAACAGUUCUGUGCAGACCUGCCUCUGUCCCAGCCCCAGCAUGACCCCCGCCGGCUGGGAACCCCAGCCCUGGCCCAACCUUGUGUGGGGACUCCUGGAACCACCUUGGAACCUCCUUAUGCCACAGGAGUGGCCCUAGAAAAGGCAAAAAGACCAAAAAAAAAAAAAAAGAUACAUUUUUAAUAUUUUGUCAGCAAGAAGGGCCUAGAGAGACAAAUUGUUAUUUCAACAGACAAAAGUCAUGAUGAGGCCAUGUGUGUGUGCCUUCAAGGUUCUUCUCUGAAAGUCCUGACCCAACUCAGCUGGCAUCAUAUUCACCCUUGUUGCCCCCAAAGACUACAAAUAAUAAGUGCUGGAGAGGAUGUGGAGAAAAGGGAACUCUCUUACACUGUUGGUGGGAAUGUGCAUUGGGGCAAACACUAUUGAAAACAGCAUGGAGGUUCCUUAAAAAACUGAAAAUAGAACUACCAUACAAUCCAGCAAUCCCACUCCAGGGCGUCGUAUCCAGAGAAAAUCCUUAUUUGAAAAGAUAUGUGCACCCCAUUGUUCACUGCAGCACUAUUUAUAAUAGCCAAUUAAUGGAAGCAACCUAAAGGUCCAUCAAUAGGAGAAUCGAUAAAGAAGAUGUGGUACAUAUAUACAAUGGAAUAUUACGCAGCCAUAAAUAAGAGUGAAAUAAUGCCAUUUACAGCAACAUGGAUGGACCUAGAAGCUAUCAUACUACGUGAAGUUAGACAAUGAAAGACAAACAUCAUAUGAUAUCACCUAUAUGUGGAAUCUUUUUAAAAAAAUGAUAUAAUGAACUCAUUUGCAGAACAGAAAUAGACUCACAGACUUUGGAAGACUUACAAUUACCAAAGGGGACAGUGGGGUUUGGGGGUAGGGAUGGACUGGGGGUUUAGGAUUGGCUGAGGGUUUGGCAUACACUGAAGGGUACAGAAUGAUUGGCCAAUGGGACCUGCUGUAUGGCACAGAAUUCUGUGAUAAUCUAUGUGGGAAAUGAAUCUGAGAGAGAAUGGAUAUGUGUAUAUGUAUCACUGGGUCACUUUUUUGUGCAGCAGAAAAUAUCACAGCCUUGUAAAUUAACUAUACUUCAGUAAAACUAAAAAGAAAGAAAAAGAAAGAAAGGAAGGAAGGAAGGAAGGAAGGAAGAAAGAAAGAAAGAAAGGAAGAAAGAAGGAAGGAAGGAAGAGGAAGGAAGAAAGAAAGAAGAAAGAAAGACUGAUUCUCAGGCCAAGGAUCAAAUCCACACCACAGCAGUACCUGAGCUGCUGCAGUGACAAUGCCAGAUCCUUAACCUGUUUGCCACAAGAGGUCUCUGAUUGUCCUUUAAUUUCAUCCAUUUUUGCUUCACGUAUUUUAAAACUCUAUUAUUAGGCACAUAAUAUUUGGCACAUAAGAUUAAGAUGUCUUCCUGGAGUUCUUGUCAUGACGCAGUGAAGUUGAAUCUGACUAGGAACCAUGAGGUUGCAGGCUCGAUCCCUGGCCUCGAU
rnacentral:lncRNA from 1 species